UAUCUCUGUAGAGUCUGCAUAUCAAUAAGCGGAGGAAAAGAAACUAACUAGGAUUCCCUUAGUAACGGCGAGUGAAGCGGGAAGAGCUCAAAUUUGAAAUCUUCAAGGUUCUACCUUGACGAAUUGUAGUUUAAAGAAGUGUUUUCUGUUGGAGUUUUGGUAAAAGUUCUUUGGAAUAGGACAUCAUAGAGGGUGAGAAUCCCGUAUUUGACCAUUUCUUCCAGCUGUGUGAUACACUUUCAAAGAGUCGGAUUGUUUGGGAAUGCAGUCCAAAAUGGGUGGUAAAUUUCAUCUAAAGCUAAAUAUUGGCGAGAGACCGAUAGCGAACAAGUACCGUGAGGGAAAGAUGAAAAGAACUUCGAAAAGAGAGUUAAACAGUACGUGAAAUUGUCAGAAGGGAAGCGUUUGACACCAGUGUUGUUUUCUCGAAAAUCAAUUAAGAAUGGCCGGAUUUUGUGUUGUAUUGACUUUAUCAGCUUUCUGCACUUUUUUCUUGUCUUUUUUAAUGCACUUUUCGUUUAACAAGUCAACAUCAAUUUCUUUUGUUGUAAAAGAGUCAUUGGAAGGUGGCUUUCCUUUCGGAUGAAAGUGUUUAUAGCCUUUGACUUCUGCAAUCGGAGAGAUUGAGGUCUGCAGCGUAGAUCCUUCGGGGUUAGAUGCAUUUGUGCUAGGUUAUAGCUUUUCAUAGACAACAUGUUGACUAUGAUUAAGUCAUGUAGCUUACUCGCUUAUGCUAUUUUACCUACGCUUAGGAUGUUGAACGCGCACAGAGUCUC
rnacentral:rRNA from 1 species